UGACAGGGAUUUGGCUCAAGGUUGACUCAGCCUUCCAUCCUUCUGAGGUUGGUAAAAUGAGAACUCAGAUUGUUGGGGGAAAUAUGCUGACAUUUGUAAACUGCUUAGACGGUGCUAUAAAACACUAUGGAGUGGCGUAAAAGUCUAAGUGCUUUUGUU